UGGCUCCACAAAUGUCAAAUCUCAGACUGAGCUCAGAGAUGUUGGACAGAGGAGAAAACGAGGUGAUCCAGGGAAGAGCUCCGACUACUAGAAUGUGAAUCCAGACUCAUCUACAGCGUAUGUACUGGACAACUGAGGAUGAUCUUGACACUAUAUUUGGACAACAGACCUAAAGAGACUAAAUACCAGCCUCUUAAAUGACUCUCAAUGCCAAAAUUAC